rnacentral:rRNA from 1 species
CGGACAUUACCGGUAUAAGAGGUCCCGCCUGCCCUGUGACCAAAAGUUUAACGGCCGCGGUAUUUUGACCGUGCGAAGGUAGCGUAAUCACUUGUCUUUUAAAUGGAGACCAGUAUGAAUGGCAUAACGAGGGCUAAACUGUCUCCUUUUUCCAGUCAAUGAAAUUGAUCUGCCCGUGCAGAAGCGGGCAUAAAAACACAAGACGAGAAGACCCUAUGGAGCUUUAGACACUAAGACAGCCCACGUUAAUACUCCCCCAAACCAAGGGAAUAAACUUAAACCCCCCCUGUCUACCUGUCUUUGGUUGGGGCGACCACGGGGGACAAAAAUCCCCCAUGAGGAAUGGAACUUCACCCCCCUCAAACCAGAGCCACAGCUCUAAUUAACAGAACUUCUGACCAACAAGAUCCGGCACCGCCGAUCAACGGACCAAGUUACCCUAGGGAUAACAGCGCAAUCCUCUUUUAGAGCCCAUAUCGACAAGAGGGUUUACGACCUCGAUGUUGGAUCAGGACAUCCUAAUGGUGCAGCCGCUAUUAAGGGUUCGUUUGUUCAACGAUUAAAGUCCUACGUGAUCUGAGUUCAGACCGGAGG